CACUUUUCCGAUCCUCAGACAGGACGAGUUGGGGAUGAGCCGUGUCUGGAUCCAGAGUCACAUGCGCUGGGGAGAUAGAAUCAGAGCGAGUCUCUACCUGAGCUG